rnacentral:rRNA from 1 species
UACGAAGGGGGCUAGCGUUGUUCGGAAUUACUGGGCGUAAAGCGUACGUAGGCGGUUAUUUAAGUCAGGGGUGAAAUCCCAAGGCUCAACCUUGGAAUUGCCUUUGAAACUGGAUAGCUAGAGACCGUUAGAGGUUAGUGGAAUACCUAGUGUAGGAGUGAAAUCCGUAGAUAUUAGGUGGAACAUCGAUUGCGAAGGCAGCUAACUGGGACGGUACUGACGCUAAUGUACGAAAGCGUGGGGAGCAAACAGG